UCCCUCCCUCCGCUCCCUCCCAGCCCACCCCACCAGCCCUUUCCAGUUGAGCACGCUGUUCCCAGAGCACCAGACACUGGACAGAAAAGGAGGAGAAAGACGAGGAAACAGCUAAAUCACAACAAGAUAAGUAAAUUGAGGUAUAGUGAAGCUAAACAACCAGCCUAAAGUCAUAUGGCUGUGGGACAAGCCAAGCUGGGAUCCAAUGCAGAUCAGCCUAACUCCAGAACCCAUCUUCAAAGCCACUAGCUGCCUUCUCCUUUGUUGGGACUACAUUUUUCCAUCUUCCUCAACGAUCUCUUGGCCCCACAUACCCUCCAGAUCAUUCCAUAGUGCCUGCCAGAAGUACGUCUGACAAGUCUGGCAGAAGGCAGAUAUCAAUACAAAAUGGAAAGUCACAAGAUGGGCCAAGAAGAUUGAAACCAGAGAAAGGAAAGUCAACAUAUUAGAUCAACAUAUUAGAUCAUAAUGAAGUCAUAAAGGCAAGGAAAAUAAAUAGAAAAAUCAAGUCAAAGUUUGAAGCUUCAAAAGGCAGCUCUCCUGGAAGCUUCUCCCAAAUAAGCACCUGCUG